GAUUAACGCUGGCGGCGUGCCUAACACAUGCAGGUCGAACGAUGAAACUUUAAUGACCCCUUCGGGGAGAAUUAAAGCGGAUUAGUGGCGAACGGGUGAGUAACGCGUGAGUAACCUGCCUUACACAAGGGGAUAGCCUUUGGAAACGAAGAAUAAUACCCUAUAAAACCGUAAAAGCACAUGCAAUUAUGGUCAAAGUGAUAGCGGUGUAAGAUGGACUUGCGUCUGAUUAGCUAGUUGGUGAGAUAAAAGCCCACCAAGGCAACGAUCAGUAGCCGGCUUGAGAGAGUGUACGGCCACAUUGGGACUGAGACACGGCCCAGACUCCUACGGGAGGCAGCAGUGGGGAAUUUUGCACAAUGGGGGAAACCCUGAUGCAGCGACGCCGCGUGAUUUAGAAGGCCUUCGGGUUGUAAAAAUCUUUUGUAUAGGAAGAAAAUGACAGUACUAUACGAAUAAGGUCCGGCUAAUUACGUG
rnacentral:rRNA from 1 species